rnacentral:rRNA from 1 species
UACGAGUGCCUCAAGCGUUAUCCGGAAUCAUUGGGCGUAAAGGAUGUGUAGGUGGUUGUGUUAGUCUUCUGUUAAAUUCUUCGGCUUAACCGGGGGCAUGCAGAGGAAACGGCACGACUAGAGGAUGCGAGGGGUCUGCGGAACUCAUAGUGUAGCGGUGAAAUGCGUUGAUAUUAUGGGGAACACCAAAAGCGAAGGCAGCAGACUGGAGCACUCCUGACACUGAAACAUGAAAGCGUGGGUCGCGAAUGGG